rnacentral:rRNA from 1 species
CCCUUAGAUGUUCUGGGCCGCACGCGUGCUACACUGAUGCAUUCAACGAGUCUAAAACCUGGUCUGAUAGGGCUGGGUAAUCUUUUGAAAGUGCAUCGUGAUUGGGAUAGAUGAUUGCAAUUCUUCAUCUUCAACGAGGAAUGCCUAGUAAACGCAAGUCAUCAGCUUGCAUUGAUUACGUCCCUGCCCUUUGUACACACCGCCCGUCGCUCCUACCGAUUGAAUGAUCCGAUGAAUACCAUGGAUUGAGAGUACGAAUAGGUUCGCUUAUUUCUGCUGCUCGAGAAGUGGAGUAAAUCUUAUCAGUUAGAGGAAGGAGAAGUCGUAACA